rfam:Gossypium hirsutum cultivar TM-1 chromosome 13, whole genome shotgun sequence
UAAAAAAAAAUUCAUCUAUUUCUAUUGUUUAAAACUGGCGUGGUUAAUAGAAUAACAAAAUAAUUACACAUGGCUUGCUAUGUGUACCUCGUGUUAAUGUAUAAGGACCAAUUUUUAACAGUAUAAAUAGAUGAAAUUUUUAACA